CUUCCUCUUCGUCCUCCUCCUCCCGCUCGCUCCCAUAAGCAUUGCCCUCCUCGUCCGUGCGACUACGGGGAGCCCACGUCAUCUUGUUCUCCUUCUUGAGGCGCCGGCGCGCGUUGGCGAACCAGAAGGGAAAGAAAAACAAAACGCAACACCACACAACAACACCACACAAGAGCCUCUGAGAUGCUCCUUCCUUCCUUACUGCAUUAACCAGCUAUCGACCUGGUUGUGUCCGAUUGCGAUGAUGGGCUGAGAGAAAGAACACCGGAAGAGCCAGGCUGUUCUCAGGAAGGACUCACGCCGGCCACGGGGCCGCCCCUGGCCCAGAGGGUGAACCUCUAGACCCAGGCACAGUGCACAAAGCGCUCGCCGCGGACGCUCUGUGGUCUGGGAUCAGGGCGCCAGGAGCAUACAGAAAAGGUGUACGCCGAGGACACGUGGCGCACGAAGCUGUGCGCGCUGGAGGACAACUACAAGGGGUGCCCUAUGUGUAGCCAGAGGCCCACCAGCUUCGGGGUCGGACACUCCGAACCACCAGCCCCCAUCUCUUCCCUCCCCUGGUCCAGCUCCCCGAUGUGCCCGUGCCCCCCGUCGUUGGGAGCUUCUGCAGCUGUGUCUCCCAGCUCGGACAGAGUUCACUCCUUUCCUCCCAAGGCUCAGAGUCCCCCAGAGGCGGUGCGGGCUGGCUAUCCUUCAGCUUCUUGCAGAGGCUGCUGCGUACGCUCCCCCCCCCCCCAGCUGGGGUUACAGGUUAAUGAAACGCUCGUUUUCCUCAGUCAUUUGUUUUGUUUUCCUGCAAAGUUCUGAUAAGUAGCUAACCAACGAAGCUUGUAAUUACAAUCUUACAGAAACCGGGCCGAUCUGUAUAUAAAUCUCACCAUCCAAUUACAAGAUGUAAUAAUUUUGCACUCAAGCUGGUAAUGAGGUCUAAUACUCGCGCAUGCGAUAAUCCCCUCUGGAUGCUGGCUUGAUCAGAUGUUGGCUUUGUAAUUAGACGGGCAGAAAAUCAUUAUUUCAUGUUCAAAUAGAAAAUGAGGUUGGUGGGAAGUUAAUUUCUCUCCGCUCUGUGAAGCGUAGACAAGAAUUUAAUGAUUUAAUUACAGUUGUAAGCCCUUUCCAUGAGACUUAAAUUGAGCUGAGAAUAUUUUUUUCCUUU
rnacentral:lncRNA from 1 species